rnacentral:tRNA from 1 species
GCUCUCUUAGCUCAGUGGUAGCAGCGCCACACUAGUAAUGUGGAGGUCACAGGUUCAAGUCCUGUAGGGAGCA